GAUGAACGCUGGCGGCGUGCCUAAUACAUGCAAGUCGAGCGAACAGACGAGAGUGCUUGCACUCUCUGACGUUAGCGGCGGACGGGUGAGUAACACGUGGGUAACCUACCUAUAAGACUGGGAUAACUUCGGGAAACCGGAGCUAAUACCGGAUAAUAUUUAGCUUCGCAUGAAGCAAUAGUGAAAGACGGUUCUGCUGUCACUUAUAGAUGGACCCGCGGUGUAUUAGCUAGUUGGUGAGGUAACGGCUCACCAAGGCAACGAUACAUAGCCGACCUGAGAGGGUGAUCGGCCACACUGGGACUGAGACACGGCCCAGACUCCUACGGGAGGCAGCAGUAGGGAAUCUUCCGCAAUGGACGAAAGUCUGACGGAGCAAUGCCGCGUGAGUGAAGAAGGUUUCCGGAUCGUAAAACUCUGUUGUAAGGGAAGAACAAGUACGUUAGUAACUGAACGUACCUUGACGGUACCUUACCAGAAAGCCACGGCUAACUACGUG
rnacentral:rRNA from 1 species